GAGCCUUGAGACCGGCGCACGGGUGCGUAACGCGUAUGCAGUCUACCUUGUACAGGGGGAUAGCCCAGAGAAAUUUGGAUUAAUACCCCAUGGUGUAUUAGAGUGGCAUCAUUUAAAUACUAAAGUUCCAACGGUACAAGAUGAGCAUGCGUCCCAUUAGUUAGUUGGUAAGGUAACGGCUUACCAAGACGAUGAUGGGUAGGGGUCCUGAGAGGGAGAUCCCCCACACUGGUACUGAGACACGGACCAGACUCCUACGGGAGGCAGCAGUGAGGAAUAUUGGUCAAUGGGCGAGAGCCUGAACCAGCCAUGCCGCGUGCAGGAAGACGGUCCUAUGGAUUGUAAACUGCUUUUAUACAGGAAGAAACACUCCCUCGUGAGGGAACUUGACGGUACUGUAGGAAUAAGGAUCGGCUAACUCCGUGCCAGCAGCCGCGGUAAUACGGAGGAUCCAAGCGUUAUCCGGAAUCAUUGGGUUUAAAGGGUCUGUAGGCGGUUUAAUAAGUCAGUGGUGAAAUCUGGUCGCUCAACGAUCAAACGGCCAUUGAUACUGUUAAACUUGAAUUAGUGUGAAGUAACUAGAAUAUGUAGUGUAGCGGUGAAAUGCUUAGAUAUUACAUGGAAUACCAAUUGCGAAGGCAGGUUACUAACACUAUAUUGACGCUGAUAGACGAAAGCGUGGGUAGCGAACAGGAUUAGAUACCCUGGUAGUCCACGCCGUANACGAUGGAUACUAGCUGUUUGGAGCAAUCUGAGUGGCUAAGCGAAAGUGAUAAGUAUCCCACCUGGGGAGUACGCACGCAAGUGUGAAAC
rnacentral:rRNA from 1 species